AAAAAUUUGGCAAAAACUGAAACGGCUAAAAAGAUAUUGAGAGGGUGUGAAUAAUCAGAACACAUAAAGAGAAAUCAGAAAAUCACUGUUACAUUGAAAUUUUUCCUGCAAUUCUUGGGGUUUUCAAGUUUUUCUGAAGAAAACCUGGGAUUUAUUUGGGUUUGAAAAAGCUGGAUUUGAUAUUGUUGAGCUGCUGAAAUACAUUUGCUUUCUACUGCUGAUCUUCUUACCCUUUCUUUUGCUUAAAUUGCAUCAGGUAUGCCCUUGAAACUGUGAUGGAACUGAAGCCUGACUGAAUUUGUGUAAAGAUCUAUGAAUCUGAAUUGGGAUUUAAAUGGAAACACUAGUUCUUGCUGUAUCUACUGCUAGAUUUCGCCAUUUUAUGUUAUUAAAUUUCCCCAAUUAUGUAGUAAUUUAGUUUUCUUGCAUGUGUUGGUUUGCUCAUUCAUGUUAGUAUCUUAAGGUUGUGCUGAUAAGUUGGAAUAGACGUUUAAGUUAAGAAUGUUGGCUUGUAAUAAUGAUUGAAAUCUAUUAUAUGGGUGAAAUGCUAGACAUGUUGUAGUGGAAGGUUGUUUGAAUGUGUCAAUUUAG
rnacentral:lncRNA from 1 species